rnacentral:rRNA from 1 species
UGGGGAAUCUUGCGCAAUGCGCGAAAGCGUGACGCAGCAACGCCGCGUGGGGGAAGACGGCCUUCGGGUUGUAAACCCCUUUCAGGAGGGACGAAGCCCGGGCGGUGAAUAGCCGACCCGGGUGACGGUACCUCCAGAAGAAGCCCCGGCUAACUACGUGCCAGCAGCCGCGGUAAUACGUAGGGGGCAAGCGUUGUCCGGAAUCAUUGGGCGUAAAGCGCGUGUAGGCGGUCCGGUAAGUCGGUUGUGAAAGUCCAGGGCUCAACCCUGGGAUGCCGAUCGAUACUGCCGGACUAGAGUCCGGAAGAGGCGAGUGGAAUUCCCGGUGUAGCGGUGAAAUGCGCAGAUAUCGGGAGGAACACCAAUGGCGAAGGCAGCUCGCUGGGACGGUACUGACGCUGAGACGCGAAAGCGUGGGGAGCAAACA